GUGCCAGCAGCCGCGGUAAUACGUAGGGUGCGAGCGUUAAUCGGAAUUACUGGGCGUAAAGCGUGCGCAGGCGGUUAUGUAAGACAGAUGUGAAAUCCCCGGGCUCAACCUGGGAACUGCAUUUGUGACUGCAUGGCUGGAGUACGGUAGAGGGGGAUGGAAUUCCGCGUGUAGCAGUGAAAUGCGUAGAUAUGCGGGGGAACACCGAUGGCGAAGGCAAUCCCCUGGACCUGUACUGACGCUCAUGCACGAAAGCGUGGGGAGCAAACAGGAUUAGAUACCCUGGUAGUCCACGCCCUAAACGAUGUCAACUGGUUGUUGGGAAUUAGUUUUCUCAGUAACGAAGCUAACGCGUGAAGUUGACCGCCUGGGGAGUACGGCCGCAAGGUUGAAACUCAAAGGGAUUGACGGGGACCCGCACAAGCGGUGGAUGAUGUGGUUUAAUUCGAUGCAACGCGAAAAACCUUACCCACCUUUGACAUGGCAGGAAGUUUCCAGAGAUGGAUUGGUGCCUUCG
rnacentral:rRNA from 1 species